rfam:Tetrasphaera jenkinsii Ben 74 genomic scaffold, 1541_scaffold1
AGAGUCGACCAGACGGUCGCGUUCGGUCGCCAACGGUGACCGGCCGAGGAACGUCCGGACUCCGAAGGGCACGGUGGUGGCUAACGGCCACCCGGGGCGACCCGCGGGAAAGUGCCACAGAGAGAAGACCGCCGACCGCGGCAUUACGUCGUGGUCGGUCAGGGUGAAAGGGUGGUGUAAGAGACCACCAGCGGCCUGGGUGACCAGGUCGGCUAGGUAAACCCCACCGGGAGCAAGUCCGAAUAUGCGUGCGUUCGACGGCGGCCCGCCGGAGCACGCGGGUAGGGCGCUUGAGCCAGUCGGCAACGGCUGGCCUAGAUGGAUGACCGUCGCCCACGCACGGGCAACUGUGUGCGGGAACAGAAUCCGGCGUAUCGGUCGACUCUUCCC